AAAUUUUUUAGUUAGACAGUCUCUUUCGAUUAGAGCACUUCAGUAAAUCAGAAGGUUUGUGAGGUGAACAAUGAGACAGCAAGAAAGCGUCGCUCCGUUCGCCCACAGCGAGUCUUCAUCUCUUUUAGUCGCUUAGUCUGCAAGGCAUCACAGUCAGUUCAAACGACAAAGAUAACAGUCUAUGUACAAGUCUUCCGGCCGUUGUUCUGCACCUCAGCGGCCCUCAUGAUGUCGGAACCAAACUGAUUUAAUUGUAGUGAAGACGGCACUGUACUUUGUAUUCCAGUAGCUGCUAGUGUCUUUUUUUUAUCUGGAGAAUGGAACUCUUGACGUUUGGCGGCGGUGCUCUCGGGGAACUGAACAAACGGUUGAAGGAUCGGAGAAUUCCACGCACCUCGAAAAGCUAGAUGAACUAAGGACCUUGAAGGAGUCUUCUUAACUUACCGCCUGCCGAACAAAUCUUCCCGAUUAGGACAAGUUGCGACUCGGAUAUCGUUAUACAUGUUGGAGAGCCGAUUAAACAAGGAAGCUCACACUUCAACAUUACGGUGAACCCAGUUCUUG